rnacentral:rRNA from 1 species
UUCAGGGGUAAACCUGAGAAACCCGAAAGGUCGAAAGGGGAAAUUCAUUCGCGUUUCGACCGUCGAAGUGGAGCGAUCGAGCGACGGACGGCGUACGCGUCGUCCGCGCCUUUCGUUCUACCUGAGUUCGGCGUCGAACGCGUGCACUUUUCCCCUAGUAGGACGUCGCGAUCCGUUGGGUGUCGGUCUAAGGCCCGCGGUGGAGCCCGGGCGUGCGUCUUCGGACGUUCGCGCUCGGACCCGCGGUGUCCCGGCCGACCCGCUCGACGGUAUACAGAUGGCGCGGGGCCGCUAAUUCACAAUUAGCGUUCGGCCCGCGGCAAGCGCGUACGGUGUUGGCGGCGAUCGGACCCGGUGCCGGUCCCGCCCCCGGACGACUGUUGGCCGCGGUGUUCUCGAACAGACCUCGUCUCGAAACGCCGAUCUGCGACGCUAUAGCUUUGGGUACUUUCAGGACCCACGGACCAAGGAGUCUAGCAUGUGCGCGAGUCAUUGGGACAUAACUAAACCUAAAGGCGCAAUGAAAGUGAAGGUCCGCCUCGCGCGGACCGAGGGAGGAUGGGCGGUUCGUACGUCCGUGCGACCGCUCCGCACUCCCGGGGCGUCUCGUUCUCAUCGCGAGAAGAGGCGCACCAAGAGC